rnacentral:lncRNA from 1 species
CAUUCAUCUUAUAAUUCGCCUAUAACUAAUUCUCAACCUUUAAACUAAAAUAAAAUACUCAAUUUAGAGUAUCGACUUUUUCAACAUGUAGCACCCCAAACCCGGCCCAGAAGUUAUGGCCGGAUCCGGCAUGCCACAUCAAAAACGUUAAAAAAAAAUUUCCAUUCUAAGUCCAGAAAAUCGUACUUGAUGUUCAAAAGAUUAAUUCAUUAAGGGUUAAAGUGAAUGGAAGCUGU